AGUGGCGCACGGGUGAGUAACACGUGGGAAUGUGCCUUUUGGUACGGAACAACUUUUGGAAACGAAAGCUAAUACCGUAUGGUCCCUCCGGGGUAAAGAUUUAUCGCCAAAAGAGCAGCCCGCGUCUGAUUAGCUAGUUGGUGAGGUAACGGCUCACCAAGGCGACGAUCAGUAGCUGGUCUGAGAGGACGAUCAGCCACACUGGGACUGAGACACGGCCCAGACUCCUACGGGAGGCAGCAGUUAGGAAUCUUGGACAAUGGGCGCAAGCCUGAUCCAGCCAUGCCGCGUGAGUGAUGAAGGCCUUCGGGUUGUAAAGCUCUUUAGUCCACGAAUAUAAUGACUGUAGUGGAAGAAUAAGCCCCGGCUAACUUCGUGCCAGCAGCCGCGGUAAUACGAAGGGGGCGAGCGUUGUUCGGAAUCACUGGGCGUAAAGAGUGCGUAGGCGGUCAUGAAAGUUAGGAGUGAAAGCCCAGGGCUUAACCUUGGAAUUGCUUUUAAAACUACAUGACUCGAAUUCGGGAGAGGAUAGCGGAAUUGUCAGUGUAGCAGUGAAAUGCGUAGAUAUUGACAGGAACACCAGUGGCGUAAGCGGCUAUCUGGACCGACAUUGACGCUGAGGCACGAAAGCGUGGGGAUCAAACAGGAUUAGAUACCCUGGUAGUCCACGCCGU
rnacentral:rRNA from 1 species